UGAUUUUCUUUCCAGCUUUUGUUUUAAUUACUAUACCAGUACACCAGUUGGAUGCCUAAUUGGAAUGGAAUACAUUUAACGGCUUUCCACCUGCCUGCGUUCUAAAGAAAACUGUCCGAGUCUGAUUUUCUUCAUAUGCUAAUUACAGUUAUCAAAAAGUUUCUCUGUCGCUGCCACCGGACACUGGAAACUCAAUGCAUACAUAAUGAGUUUCUCUUCUUUUCCUGCAGCUUCUCGUCUGACUCUCCCCCAUUUUCCCCCAAACAGAUGUUGGAAAAUGGAGGGGAAAAAAAAGAUAGGACACCCGUCGGUGUCAGCUAAUUAAAUUAGAUGUUUUAUAUGUACUACAUAUAUACGGCUCACCUUAAGUGAAACCGAUAUGACCAGAUGAAAAUGAAAACACCAAACCGAAAGAACUCAACAAGUCGAAAUCUGCACAUGGCAAGGUGCCUGGAACCGAAUUAGAAGUGAAAAGUAUGAAAUAAGCUCAUAAAAUGACGUUCACACAUGGACCGGGAAGGGAUUUCGAUGAGGGGAUGAGGAUAAGGAUGACCCGUAUCCGGAGGCGAGGUCAACAAAGUCGCAAGUCCGGACAUUCGCUGCAGGUGUGGUGGGCGAAACUUGCACCUGAGAGAUAGAACCCCUCCCCUGGAACUAGACGCACCGGACGGACACUUUGAAUUUAAGCGAAAUGGGCGGACUUUCUGGGACUGGCUAAAUACAUACGGAAGGGCAAGAGAGAUAGCCGGGAUAACUGACUGACAUCUUGAAUUACAAAUGAAAAACUUGUGUGCAGCAGCAGAAGGAAAAGCAGCCAAAGGAAAUGGGCCAAAAAGAAGCGACACGGAAAAGGGCAGAAAUAAAAAAAAAUGUAUAUAAAGGAAAAGAAAGAAAA